AGAGUUUGAUCCUGGCUCAGGAUGAACGCUAGCGGCAGGCUUAACACAUGCAAGUCGAGGGGUAUAGGUUUUCGGACCUAGAGACCGGCGCACGGGUGCGUAACGCGUAUGCAAUCUACCUUUCACAAAGGGAUAGCCCAGAGAAAUUUGGAUUAAUACCUUAUAGUAAUACGACUUGGCAUCAAGAUGUAUUUAAAGAUUUAUCGGUGAAAGAUGAGCAUGCGUCCCAUUAGCUUGUUGGUAAGGUAACGGCUUACCAAGGCAACGAUGGGUAGGGGUCCUGAGAGGGAGAUCCCCCACACUGGUACUGAGACACGGACCAGACUCCUACGGGAGGCAGCAGUGAGGAAUAUUGGACAAUGGGCGCAAGCCUGAUCCAGCCAUGCCGCGUGCAGGAUGACGGUCCUAUGGAUUGUAAACUGCUUUUGUACAGGAAGAAACCCUUUCACGUGUGGAAGAUUGACGGUACUGUAAGAAUAAGGAUCGGCUAACUCCGUGCCAGCAGCCGCGGUAAUACGGAGGAUCCAAGCGUUAUCCGGAAUCAUUGGGUUUAAAGGGUCCGUAGGCGGUCAAGUAAGUCAGUGGUGAAAGCCCAUCGCUCAACGGUGGAACGGCCAUUGAUACUGCUUGACUUGAAUUAUUAGGAAGUAACUAGAAUAUGUAGUGUAGCGGUGAAAUGCUUAGAGAUUACAUGGAAUACCAAUUGCGAAGGCAGGUUACUACUAAUGGAUUGACGCUGAUGGACGAAAGCGUGGGUAGCGAACAGGAUUAGAUACCCUGGUAGUCCACGCCGUAAACGAUGGAUACUAGCUGUUGGGAGCAAUCUCAGUGGCUAAGCGAAAGUGAUAAGUAUCCCACCUGGGGAGUACGUUCGCAAGAAUGAAACUCAAAGGAAUUGACGG
rnacentral:rRNA from 1 species